AGUGAACGCUGGCGGCGUGCCUAACACAUGCAAGUCGAACGAUGAUGGAGGAGCUUGCUCUUCCUGAUUAGUGGCGCACGGGCGAGUAUACCAUAGAUAAUGUACCUCUUAGUUUGGGAUAGCCACUGGAAACGGUGAUUAAUACCAGAUACCCCUUCUUGCCUCAAGGUAAGUCGGGAAAGUUUUUUCGCUAAGAGAUCAGUCUAUGUCCUAUCAGGUAGUUGGUGAGGUAAUGGCUCACCAAGCCUAUGACGGGUAUCUGGUUUGAGAGGAUGAUCAGACACACUGGAACUGAGGCACGGUCCAGACUCCUACGGGAGGCAGCAGUGAGGAAUAUUGCACAAUGGAGGAAACUCUGAUGCAGCAACGCCGCGUGGAGGAUGACGCAUUUCGGUGUGUAAACUCCUUUUAAGAGGGAAGAUUAUGACGGUACCUCUUGAAUAAGCACCGGCUAACUCCGUGCCAGCAGCCGCGGUAAUACGGAGGGUGCAAGCGUUACU
rnacentral:rRNA from 1 species